rnacentral:rRNA from 1 species
UACGAAGGGGGCUAGCGUUGUUCGGAAUUACUGGGCGUAAAGCGCGCGCAGGCGGCCUUUCAAGUCAGGGGUGAAAUCCCAGAGCUCAACUCUGGAAUUGCCUCUGAGACUGUGAGGCUUCGAGUACGGGAGAGGUGAGUGGAAUUCCCAGUGUAGAGGUGAAAUUCGUAGAUAUUGGGAAGAACACCGGUGGCGAAGGCGGCUCACUGGACUGGUAUUGACGCUGAGGUGCGAAAGCGUGGGGAGCGAACAGG